UCCGUAGGUGAACCUGCGGAAGGAUCAUUGUCGAGACCUAGAAAGCACGACUGUGGACGAGUUUUUAAUCGGGGUGAAGUCGGACUGCUUUCGGCCCUCCGUCUCACCCAGUCCGGCCAGGCGAGGGCCAAGGGCCCCCGGCUGUCCGGACCCAACGAACUCCGGCGCAAUUAGCGCCAAGGAAUCAUGAACGAAAGAGCUCGCCCUAAUCGCCCGGCAUCGGGCGCCAUGGGGUGAAGGUCUAUCAAAUACCAUAACGACUCUCGGCAACGGAUAUCUCGGCUCUCGCAUCGAUGAAGAACGUAGCGAAAUGCGAUACUUGGUGUGAAUUGCAGAAUCCCGUGAACCAUCGAGUCUUUGAACGCAAGUUGCGCCUGAAGCCAUUAGGCUGAGGGCACGUCUGCCUGGGCGUCAUGUAUUGUGUUGCCCCUCACCCAUCCGAGCGUGUAGGGGCGAAGCGUGGCCUCCCGUGAGAUCCAACUCGCGGAUGGCUUGAAAAUGAGCCUCGAGACGAAGAUGACGCCGUGACAAGUGGUGGUCGGGAGGCCUUCAAGCCUCAUAGCUUUGCGAGUCGCGCGUCCGUCGAUCUUCCUUGCAAGGGCCCUAAACAACUUGAACGGAGCGUCACCCGAUGCUUCCAGCAUUGCGACCCCAGGUCAGGCGGGACCACCCGCUGAGUUAA
rnacentral:rRNA from 1 species